CAGAAAAAGAUGUACCUCGAUAAAUAACAUCAUUCGAAGAAGCCGGCCUGCGCCUACUACUACUUCAAAACAUUAAGAUUGCUGGCUACAUAAAAUCAACACCUAUACAGAAAGCUUCAGUUGCAGAUAUUCUUGCCAAAAGAGAUUUGAUUACUUGUGCUGUCACGGGCUCCGGCAAAACGGUAAUCCAAUUAAUGAACGCUGUGUAAUUUUGAAACCUUGAUGCCUUCGUACUAACUUGAUUCGAAUGGGUCGAUAUGAACUGGGUAAGUUGAGGUAAAAGUAAUUUUGAGUGGGCACGUCUGUGAUUGCGACUACGAAAAGGUCCAAUUGCAUUUAAGAUACUCAAGAAACCCUUCGUGACAUUCGUUGAUUAAGUCAUCUAAAAUUUCACAUUUUUUCAUAUAGGCGGCGUACUUGGUACCGUUUAUGAACAUAUUGUUAGAACAAGGUGUUUCUGGUGCAUCCCCGCCAUGGUUCAAAAGCCAGAAGUUGUAAUUGUCGCACGCACUCGUGAAUUUUCGAUUCAAAUUCACCGCGGGGCGUGUAAAUUCUCCUACAAUUCGGUUUUAAAAUCUGUCAUAUAUCAAGGAACUGUCACGAGCCAUCAUCGGUCAAAUCUUCAAGCUGGGUGCAAUACUCUUGUCGCGACCGCGGGGCGACUCGAGGAUUUUCUCAAUUAGUGUCACGUCAGGUAAUCUAUGGUAACACAGAUUCCGUAAUGGUGAAAUUCGGUGUACCCACGGUGGCCGAAGCCAUGGAAUUAGGCCGAGAAGCUGCCGCAUUUGUGUCGGCAAAAUUUGUCAAACCCAUUAAUUUGGAAUUCGAAAAAGUCUAUUACCCCUAUUUAUUGAUCAACGAAAAGAGGUAUCCAGGAUUGUAUUGGACCAAACCUGAAAAGUUUGACAAAAUGGAUUGUAAGGGUUUAGAAACUGUUCGUCGUGAUAAUUGUCAACUCGUUGCCAAUCUUAUCAAUAGCUGGUCUGCAGAAAAGUUUGAUUGAUCGAGAUCCGGGUGGAGCACUAGAAUAC